rnacentral:rRNA from 1 species
UGCCAGCCGCCGCGGUAAUACGGAGGGGGUUAGCGUUGUUCGGAAUUACUGGGCGUAAAGCGCACGUAGGCGGAUUAGUCAGUCAGAGGUGAAAUCCCGAGGCUCAACCUCGGAACUGCCUUUGAUACUGCUAGUCUAGAGUUCGAGAGAGGUGAGUGGAAUUCCGAGUGUAGAGGUGAAAUUCGUAGAUAUUCGGAGGAACACCAGUGGCGAAGGCGGCUCACUGGAUCGAUACUGACGCUGAGGUGCGAAAGCGUGGGGAGCAAACAGGAUUAGAUA